rnacentral:rRNA from 1 species
CGCGGUAAUCCUUCUUCACCCGCAUCAGCACGGAAGCCUUGCACUCAAGUCUACGAGGGUUCAUUUUCGUUUCGGAAGUGGAUCCCCCGUGGGCAAGACCCGUACUGUGCAGGGAAAUCCCCCUUUGAAGGGGGCCAACCCGCAGCCGUUGAUAUUCCGUCGACGGUUCACAGAUCAUAUACGGACGUCGUCUCCAUAUCAGCUUCUACUGACGAGUUUAUUUCUUCCCCUUUAUUUCUUCAUCCGUAGCCGAGUUGUCCCGGGGGCUUCGUGAGAGCGGGCUCCCGGGGGGAAAACCCGCGACCGGAGAGAAACGAUGGGGAUGUGUCAGUGGCGUUUGCACAAGGAGAUUAAGAGAUGAUCGAAACCCAAGGGUUGUCUUCCUUGUGACCCACGUUCCGUAGGUGAACCUGCGGAAGGAUCAUUACCGAGAAAGGGUCCUCCGGGCCCGACCCUCCCACCCCGUGUGAACUUGCCCUCGUUGCUUUGACGGGCCGUGCGGCCUUACGGGCCCCCGUCGGCCUCGGCGGACGUGCGCCCGUCAGAGACCCCCCCAAUCCAGUUGUGUAGUGCAGUCCGAGUCUUUGCGAAACAAUGAAAACUUUCAACAACGGAUCUCUUGGUUCUGGCAUCGAUGAAGAACGCAGCGAAAUGCGAUAAGUAAUGUGAAUUGCAGAAUUCAGUGAAUCAUCGAAUCUUUGAACGCACAUUGCGCCCUCCGGUAUUCCGGGGGGCAUGCCUGUUCGAGCGUCAUUACGCCCCUCAAGCCCGGCUUGGUAUUGGGGGCCGCCCCUCCGAAGGGUGCCCCCGAAACGCAGCGGCGACGCGGUCGGGUUUUCAAGCGCAGUAGAACCUUCCGUUUCGCUUUUCAAGACCCGGGCGCGCCCGCCGGACAACCCCCCUUUCUUCGACGGUUGACCUCGGAUCAGGUAGGGAUACCCGCUGAACUUAAGCAUAUCAAUAAGCGGAGGAAAAGAAACCAACAGGGAUUGCCUCAGUAACGGCGAGUGAAGCGGCAACAGCUCAAAUUU